UUUUCCCAUCCUAUUUCCCUUCUUUCUGUCUCUACAUUAAGAGAGCACAAAUCAUUUACAGCUUGGUCCACUCAGCCUGAAUCUUUUCCACUUUGAUCCACAAACUUCUAUUUCUUCUCCUUUGAAUCCCUGAUUUGCUCCCUAUGUCCCUCAUGGAGCGUGUAACCACCCAAAGUUUGGCCCAGGGAUAAGGCCAGGAAGCACCAGCUACUUGACAGUGAAGUCGCUGGUCCUACGUGUGGGCUCUAGGGGGCGAUGCAGUGUAACGUCCUGGUGCAGGAGGAGCAGCAGUCUUGCUCCCCACAGAGCUUUGAGGAGCUGGACCAAAAGUGUGCUCCACAGAGAGAAGAUACCGGUGCCGGGAAGUACCAGUGCCCUGAGGAAGGGCCAUUUCUAGAAGCCCCGUGCUGACACACGGGUGCUGGUUACUCUUCAAGAGCUCACUCUCUGGGGUGGGGCAAUAUCUCCAGCAGAGGUGGACUGGAAAGGACCCCGCCCGCAACCCCGCCCGCCGUAAGCUUAGCUGGAGCCAUGGCCUCUGCACGCAUCUCGACGCUUGCGAUGCUCUUCACAUUGAGUGGGCUGAGAGCUCAGUUGGUGACUCAGCCAGAAGAUCAGGUCACGGUCGCCGAAGGGAAUCCUCUGACUGUGAAAUGCACCUAUUCAGUCUCUGGAAACCCAUAUCUUUUUUGGUAUGUUCAAUACCCCAACCAAGGCCUCCAGUUCCUUCUGAAAUACAUCACAGGGGACAACCUGGUUAAAGGCAGCUAUGGCUUUGAAGCUGAACUUAACAAGAGCCAAACCUCUUUCCACCUGAAGAAACCAUCUGCCCUUGUGAGCGACUCCGCUUUGUACUUCUGUGCUGUGAGAGACACACUGAUAGGGGCUGCAGGGGGAGCAGAACACAAACUUUGAGUCUAGUAAAACCCAUUUACUUGAAGCCUUUGUUCCUCCACGAGAGUGGUGUGGU